AUGGACGCGGCGGCCAGCAGCGCCGGGCAGAGCGCUGCCAGGGUGGCCGAUCUGCUCCGUGGGUUCCUCGCCGUGCAGCAGCGCCGCGCCGAGGCUUACUCCAAGCUCCGAAGUGGGUUUUCUGAAUAUAUGGCUAAUGGAGGUGAAUGCGCCUAUCAACAACUAUGUGGGAAUGUUACAGCCGAAUUUAAUGAUUGCUCAACACAGAUUCUUGAAAUGGUGUCCCUCCUGUCAAAGCCAAGUUUUUGUCGUGGAGAUCUUGCCAACUUAUUGAAGGAUGUGCAAGCAUGUGAGAGAGAUAAGUUGCAGCUGACAGCUAGGAUUCAGGUGUUGAAGAAGGCUGGCCGUCCUUCGGAACGCCUGGUAAACCAUGAGCACUGCAGGUCAAGCAGCACGUCCCAGCAUGUGUGUGCGAACCUCAAGGAGAUAACCGAGGCUUCCGGCACGGAGGACGCAGAGGCGGACGCAGAGUAUGACGCUGCUCUGAAGGAGGCAAUACAGGGCAUUCAAGAGGCAGUGACUAGCAUAAACGAGCACAUGGAGGAAGUGCGGUACGAGAUCGACGCCCUCGAGGCUGACACGGUUGACAGCAGGCUGAGUGAAGUCGAGGAAGCGUUCCCGGAUGCUCUGUUGAUAGAGUAG
rnacentral:rRNA from 1 species